rnacentral:lncRNA from 11 species
UCCCAUAGUGUUUCUAAUUAUCAUACAACAUGGAAGACACCUGAUCUUGUAUGAUCUUGGAAAAUACAUAUGGUGGAACCUGGUCAGUGUUUUCACAAAAGACCACUACCAGAAUACUAGGGAUCUCCAGAAGAAGAAGAUGUGCAAAGCCUUUGAUGGUGUGGAUCACAACAACAACUCAAACCACAAUUGAUCACUUGAGAAGAAACUGGUGUACCACAUUUGAUUGUUCUGAUGUGUAAGUAUACUCCAUACU